CUGAGACUUUAUUACCAAAGGGAAGAGGAGAGGAGGCAUUUUCUAUUCAAGAAGCCCACAAAUAGGAAUUAACACAGGUGCAACAGGGGGAAUUCUUCAUUGAAAAGGGACAAAAAGUAGAAAUUCCUCUGGUACAAAAAGAGGGGGUUCAGAGAGAAUGGAUCUUGGGUUGGGAUACUGCUGGGGUCCCCUGAGGGAACUUACCCAUCUCUGGCCUUUGUGAGAAGAUAGGCACCCUAUUGAAGGAUAUGCCCCAUGUAAUUGAUUUAAAUGUGCCCUCCUGCCCCCCAAAAUGUAUCCAACUUCUAAUCCUUGGAACCUAUAAAUGUGACCUUUUGUGGAAAAAAGGGUUUGGGCAGACAUAAUUAAGUUAAGGUUAUCUCGAUGAGAUUAUUCUGGAUUAGAUUGGGCUCUAAAUCCAAUGGCAAAUAAUUAGAAGAGAAGGGGAAACAGAUGCAGAGACACAGAGAGAAGUCCACGUGAGGACAGAUGCAGAGAGUGGGGUUACACAGCCCCAAGCCAAGGAAUGCCAAGGGUUGCAAGCAACCAGAAGGCCAAUGCCUGAUGUUACUGUAUAUGACCAGUAUGCCGCUCACUGUGUGAGUUUGCGAACACCCAAACUGUGUACAGUAGGCCCCCUUUGUCUCAGUUUUCCUUUCUGCAAUUUCAGUUACCUAUGGUCACUUGCAGUUCAAAAAUAUUAAAUGGAAAUUUCCAGAAAUAAGCAACUCGUAAGUUUUAAAUUGUGUGCCACUCUAAGUAGAGUGAUGAAAUCUACUUCCAACUCCAUCCGGCCUGGGAUGUGAAUUAUCUUUUUAUCAAGCGUCUCUGCACAAUAUACACUGUCCACCCUGUCAGUCACUUAGCAGCCAGCUUGGUGAUCAGAUCGAUUGUAGUGGCAUUGCAGUGUUUGUGUUCAUGUAUUUUACUUAAUAAUGGCCCCAAAGUCCAAGAGUAGUAAUGCUGGCAUAUUAUAAUUGUUCUAUUUUAUUAUUAGUUACUAGUUAUUGCUGUUAAAUCUUUUACUGUGCCUAAUUUGUAAAUUAAACUUUACAAACUU
rnacentral:lncRNA from 1 species